rnacentral:rRNA from 1 species
GACGAACGCUGGCGGCGUGCUUAACACAUGCAAGUCGAACGAAGUGGCGAACGGGUGAGUAACGCGUAAUCAACCUGCUCUUCCGAGGGGGACAACAGUUGGAAACGACUGCUAAUACCGCAUACUGAAGGAGGGGCUUGCGUCUGAUUAGCUAGUUGGAGGGGUAACGGCCCACCAAGGCGAGGCUCAGUUGCCGGUCUGAGAGGAUGAACGGCCAAAUUGGGAAUGAGGAACGGCCCAGGUUCCGACGGGAGGCAGGAGUGGGGAAUCUUCCGAAAUGGACGAAAGUCUGACGGAGCAACGCCGGGGUAGUGAUGACAGCCUUCGGGUUGUAAAGCUCUGUUAAUCGGGACGCGGUACCGGAAUAGAAAGCCACGGCUAACUACGUGCCAGCAGCCGCGGUAAUUC